AGUGAACGCUGGCGGUAGGCCUAACACAUGCAAGUCGAACGGCAGCACAGUAAGAGCUUGCUCUUACGGGUGGCGAGUGGCGGACGGGUGGGGAAUACAUCGGAAUCUACUUUUUCGUGGGGGAUAACGUAGGGAAACUUACGCUAAUACCGCAUACGACCUACGGGUGAAAGCAGGGGAUCUUCGGACCUUGCGCGAUUGAAUGAGCCGAUGUCGGAUUAGCUAGUUGGCGGGGUAAAGGCCCACCAAGGCGACGAUCCGUAGCUGGUCUGAGAGGAUGAUCAGCCACACUGGAACUGAGACACGGUCCAGACUCCUACGGGAGGCAGCAGUGGGGAAUUUUGGACAAUGGGCGCAAGCCUGAUCCAGCCAUACCGCGUGGGUGAAGAAGGCCUUCGGGUUGUAAAGCCCUUUUGUUGGGAAAGAAAAGCAGCAGGUUAAUACCCCGCUGUUCUGACGGUACCCAAAGAAUAAGCACCGGCUAACUACGUG
rnacentral:rRNA from 1 species